rnacentral:rRNA from 1 species
UACGAAGGGGGCUAGCGUUGCUCGGAAUCACUGGGCGUAAAGGGUGCGUAGGCGGGUCUUUAAGUCAGAGGUGAAAUCCUGGAGCUCAACUCCAGAACUGCCUUUGAUACUGAGGAGUCUUGAGUAUGGGAGAGGUGAGUGGAACUGCGAGUGUAGAGGUGAAAUUCGUAGAUAUUCGCAAGAACACCAGUGGCGAAGGCGGCUCACUGGCCCAUUACUGACGCUGAGGCACGAAAGCGUGGGGAGCAAACAGGG